GGCAACAACACCUGAGAGGAUUUUUCUGGCAGGCGAAAAAAUGUUUGCAAUGACUUUGAUGAUACGGUGACUGAGGAUUCUGGAAGUUAGAAGCCCAAGAUUGCGAUGCCAGCAAGGCCAGGGAAGAGACCACAGUGGGGCAGGGCCCCAGCUUUGCUUCCUGGAGACUGGUUUUGGCAGAAAUGUGAAUAUAAGCAAGCAUACUAUGAGAUACAUGAUCCAGUCACUGUAACCUUCUUUGGAACUAGUAUUGAUCCAGCAGCAGCUUUCAGUACUGAUCCUAAAAACAAAUAAUAUGAUCGGAUCAGAUCAUCACAAAGGGAGCAGGAAUUUGAAGGAUGUAUCUGGGUUAUUCAAACCGAAAACACCUAACUCC
rnacentral:lncRNA from 10 species